CUACGUGCCAGCAGCCGCGGUAAUACGUAGGUGGCAAGCGUUGUCCGGAAUUAUUGGGCGUAAAGCGCGCGCAGGCGGAUUGGUCAGUCUGUCUUAAAAGUUCGGGGCUUAACCCCGUGAUGGGAUGGAAACUGCCAAUCUAGAGUAUCGGAGAGGAAAGUGGAAUUCCUAGUGUAGCGGUGAAAUGCGUAGAUAUUAGGAAGAACACCAGUGGCGAAGGCGACUUUCUGGACGAAAACUGACGCUGAGGCGCGAAAGCCAGGGGAGCGAACGGGAUUAGAUACCCCGGUAGUCCUGGCCGUAAACGAUAGGUACUAGGUGUAGGAGGUAUCGACCCCUUCUGUGCCGGAGUUAACGCAAUAAGUACCCCGCCUGGGGAGUACGACCGCAAGGUUGAAACUCAAAGGAAUUGACGGGGGCCCGCACAAGCGGUGGAGUAUGUGGUUUAAUUCGACGCAACGCGAAGAACCUUACCAGGUCUUGACAUUGAUGGAUAGAACUAGAGAUAG
rnacentral:rRNA from 1 species